rnacentral:misc_RNA from 1 species
UUUUUACCCAGGAAGUCGAGCCCAAAGUCGCCAAACUCGGUCCCGAUCAGAUACAAGAGCAGAGAGUCAAAUCGAUGAAAUACAGGACGAGGAGACAACAUGUGAUGACCAGCAGCCAGCCAACCGUGAAGCAGGAGAACCAGUUGUCAAGGACAACCAGUACCAGGGAAAUCAACCAGAACCAGAUCAAGCUCAACAACCAACUGUCCACUUCCAGACACCUGAUAUACAGGAGGAUUAUCUAGAAGGCAGACAGGACCUAGGGGAGGUACCAGGGGUAGGUACGGUUAACAUCGACGAUCAGGGACGGAUUAUAGGAAUAGUCAAAGAAGACGACAAUGAGUCCGUCUCAACCACAACAACACUCGACCAAGACCAUAUAGCACCGAGACAACCCAUCCGGUUCCACACAGAGGACUUACAUAAUGGCAACGUUCAUAUAGAAGUCACUGCUGUCCCAUCUGCUGGGCGUGCCCCCACCCCCCAGGAGUUACGACAGCGCCCCAUUCAGGCCCUCAGUAAAUCUGACACCUGGAAUUAUGCUCCAGAUGUUGAACAACAGGAAGUAGAUACUGAGAAAUAUCUUCCAGGCCAGAGGAAGCCACAAACACCAAACAUCUUCCAGAAAGGGGAUAUUUGGUAUAAGACAAUUGUGAAGCCGGAGAACUACUGUUUUGAGUGUCUCCCAGACAGUAUGUCCACUAAAGUGGGCCGGUCCGCGGGCAGGAUGCCUGGUCGGCCCCAGAGUGUGUCGUCACAGGUGCUACGAAUGGCUCGCAAACAGAACGAGUACUUCAAAAAAGCCCCACCGAAGAACCCCACCCUCCAUCCCUAGUCCCUACCACCACACAUCUAGUUCACCGCGAUACGGAGAGACCUACAACUCGGGUCUGGAACACCACGCCAGGAAAGUGAAAAGUCCGCGACAUUUCAUGGAGCAUGUGGUGGACCUGAGGAAGGAAACUGUGUCCGCGCCCCCUGGGUCCCUGGUCACCCGCGAGGACAGCUUGAUGGAGUCACUACAGGUUUGUCGACUGUCCACCAGGGGGAGCAACACUGAAGGACUGGAAGGGAAGCCUACAGAAGAGGGUGAAAUGAUGGAUGACAAUGAGAACAAAAGAGUGACCUUCAGGGAGGAGUCAGAGUCAUCCAUGGAGGGCAAGAAGAGCACAUUCUCCAAGUCCUCCAGCUACUCCCAGAUCUCCAUGGCUCACAUUGGACGCCCCAUCGCUCAAGUCUCCCGAAUACCAGACCCCGAUGAAGAGGCAGCUGCAGCCAAGACCCAGUUUGAGGCCAAGGCAGCAGUAGACAUCCAAAGGAUUUUCAGAGGCUAUGUUGCUAGAAAUGUGUAUAAGAAACUACUUAGAGAUGAGCGUGAACGAUUAGAAGAUGAGCGCAAGGCAGCAGUAGAAAUUCAAAGGAGAUACAGGGGUCAUCUCAUCAGGAAAAAGGAGAUUUAUCAGCAAACAGGUCUUAAGAAGGAACACUUGGAGUGGGCAUCUGAUUUCAAGCAAAUAAAGAAUGAAAACGAAGCCAGGCGACAGAAAAAGAUGGAGGCUUUGUCAGAAAAUAACACACUCAAUUAUCAGAGGAGUUCUACAAGACUCUCCACCAUUGGGCCUCAUGUGGAUAUUUACCAAAUUUAUCAUCCAAAACAAACUGGUCCAACAAAGAAAGACAUGUUUAAUGCAGCCACACACAUUCAGCGCUAUAUACGCGGUUUUCUUAUCAGAAAAAGGUUCGAGAGGCUGAAGAGAAAAUGUGUCUGGCUGGGUUCUACCUACAACAAGAUGGUGAAGGAUUACAAAGGCAUGCUGAGGAAAUGCCAGCUACGACACGGAGUGGACAGACCCAAGACUCCAUUCAGCAUCCAGGACAUGAUGGAGUACCUGGAAAUGAGGAGACGUUAUGAAAGUGUGUUUGACAAGAAAGCGUUUGGUUCUGAGCUGGAGGUGAUUGAGUUGGAGUCAUUCUUCAAGGAGUGUGACAUGUACCCAUCGGCUUCAGAGAUUGACGAGGCCAUAGAUGUUGUUUUCCAUGGUCAACAAGUAAAGCGUGGUUUGUUGAAACCUGAGGUAAUGGAACUGGUCUUUUAUAUCUACACCCCUAAAGCGACAGGACUUCCAAACAAUCGCCAGUCAACAUGGCUCAAUCCGAUCAUAGACGGGGUGGAAGCCAAAAAACUCAUAGGAAGUGAAUAUGUAGAAAAAGCUCCACUGGAGGUCUGUGCCAAGCUGGUGAUCGAAUCUCGCCGCGAGCGACGUGAGAAGGAGAGAAAGGAGAAGGACCAGAAACUGACAGAUGAUCUGGCCCAGAUGAAGGCCAAGCGUGAUGAGGAGGCAGCAGAGAAGAAAAAGGUUGUCAUAGUAACACCAGAGGAAGCAAAACAAGCUGCUUCCAGAAAGCAAUGAUCUGGGGUGUGAAUGAUCUAUGUUCUGAACAAUCUGAGGUGUUUGAACCAGAGACAUGUUCAUAGGCACUGUGAUCAAGGACUUUUGUGUUCUUAUAGACUAUGAUUGACUGUGUUACAUGGAUGGUGCAACAGCAUCAUCUGAAAUUUCUUACAUCUAGUCCUAUAGUGAGGAAAGAGACAGUGGAACAGAUCGAUUGUUAAGUAGUGUACACAACUCAGUAACAUUAUUAUACUGAUACUAAAAACAAACUCUGGUCCAAGUUUUAACAAAAAUCUAAGAAUAGCAAUAAUAAGUUUAGUCGGUUUAACCUAUCAAAAGUGUCUAGACUUAUUUAGGAUUUCUGUGAACGAGAACUGACCUUUACUGCAUUGUCAGGAAAUUGUCUGUGAUAUCUGGAAAUCAGUAUUAUUAUCGUUUGAUGUUUUAUCUUCUACAAAAAGUGAUUUUUGUCAUCAUAUUGUGAUGUCUCUUUAUGGUUAGCACAAAUUUGAGAGUUGUUGAGGAUAUACUCACUCUGCGUGUAGAUUUUAGCUAUUAUGAUAUACAAAGGAAAGGAGACUGUUAUUUACAUGUUUGAUAAACUCCAUGCAUUUAGAAUAUUGACAUUAGUAUUAGUUAUAUUAGCAUUUGAAAAAAAUCACAAAAUUCAACAUCAUUCCAAUAUACACGUAUGUUCAUAUAUUUAUUUCUAGUUCAUUUUUCAUUCAGACAAUUUUGAUUGUAUUUUUAUAUACAUUUUGUAAAUUCAUUUGUAUUUAUUUUUGGAUAUCUUAUUUGAAGAUCGAGCUGGAGCAAGUUAAUCUUUGUGAAGAAUUUUUCAGUGUUUAUAGUGAAUGAUUAUAUUCCAGUGUUAAAGACUGUAACUGCUGACGUGUUUUUGUUACCGAGAUGAAUUUGUAGGAUUUUGUUUUUUUUCUGUAACUGUUUUAUAUUUGUAUCCUUUUACUUUCUAUUCAGAAACAAACUGUGAUACUUUUUACAUUUCAUAAAUAGUAAAGAGAAAAGCCGUU